rnacentral:rRNA from 1 species
UAGCCCCAGAGCCAACCCAUCUCUGUUGCAAUAGAGUGGGAUAAUUUUUAAGUAGAGGUGAUAAACCUAUCGAACUUAGAGAUAGCUGGUUUUUUAAGAAAAGAUUUUUAGUUCAGCCCUGAGUCUUCUAUUACACAAGAAUUAAACUAAACUCAGGAGUUAUUCAAAUAAGGCACAGCUUAUUUGAAACAGGAUACAACCUAGAAAAAAGGGUAAGACAAAUUUAAUCUCUGACAAGUGGGCCUGAAAGCAGCCACCUUUUAAAAAGCGUCAAAGCUUAACAUUAAUAAUUUUCUUAAUAUCUAAAUUAAUUUCUAACCCUUAUUUACUAUUAAAAAACUCCAUAAAAUUAUGGAAGUUAUUAUGCUAGAACAAGUAACAAGAAAAAGACUUUCUCCAAAAUGUAAGCUUAAGCCACAACAGACAAACUGAUGGCAAUUAACGUUUAUGAGUCACUUGUAGUAACACCAACAGGAAAACUCUACAUGAGUUCUAACGUCAACCUUACACCAGCACAUUUAUGG